rnacentral:rRNA from 1 species
UACGUAGGGGGCAAGCGUUGUCCGGAAUUAUUGGGCGUAAAGCGCGCGCAGGUGGCUAUUUAAGUCUGGUGUUUAAACCUUGGGCUCAACCUGGGGUCGCACUGGAAACUGGAUGGCUUGAGUACAGAAGAGGAAAGUGGAAUUCCACGUGUAGCGGUGAAAUGCGUAGAGAUGUGGAGGAACACCAGUGGCGAAGGCGACUUUCUGGGCUGUAACUGACGCUGAGGCGCGAAAGCGUGGGGAGCAAACAGG